CAGUGACGUGUGUACUAGUCUGAAGCCCCCUCAUACAUGAGACAACUGAGGAUGAAGCCCAGUCCUUCCGUGAAAUAAACAAAGCGCAUCGGAAGUCCCCAAAAAGCGCAUAAUUGACCAAGCGUUCUGUUUGCCGAUGAGGAAAGUGUGAAAGAGGCGCAGUCGCCACCACCGGUGAGCGCACAGAGUACUGACCACACACGGGACACUUCUACUCCAGAGCGACUACGUCCCAACGACCUAGGACGGACUUUAUCCAACGAUUUAUUCAACUAUUUACUUGGCUGCUGAUUCCUCUCUGUUUCGUCCAUCGGGCGUACGGAAACAGGGAAGAAUAGGUGGGCCAGGAGAAAAGGAAAAAAAGACGCAAUUAUGGCAAAAGCAAGGCUGACUGACUCCCCCGGAGUGUGUAAUGAGAAAUUACAAGAAGUAGACUCUCGUCUUGCCAUUCACCAGAGAGGACAUCAUAUUUGACAGCUCAAGGGACGUAAACAAAACAUGCGCUCCUUUUAGUGGAAACUAGAAACUGUUUCCGGAUUAAGUGGUGGCACAUUUUCUAUAACGCUCCUUUCUCUGAGAGGACUGUCCACUUGGUCCGUCUCAUGAAGUCAUGCUCAUGCUUCUGUCGAGGAGUACAGUAUUUAUUAUUCUAUGACGUAGGGCACAGUGAUUGUCGUCCGUUUUGUCGGGACUCGUAGACUUAGAGGUCCGCAUUGGCUACAGAAAGUCCAAAAACUUCAGGGGGAUAGAGCAAAGAUGCCGGUUCGACGGGGUCACGUGGCACCACAGAAUACUUUCCUCGAUACUAUCAUUAGGAAAUUUGAUAGUCAAUGUCGUAAGUUCAUCAUCGCCAAUGCCCGGGUGGAGAACUGUGCCAUCAUAUUCUGCAACGAUGGCUUCUGCGCCAUGUGCGGCUACUCGCGAGCAGAGAUCAUGCAGAAACCCUGUACCUGUAACUUCCUGUACGGCCCUCAAACCAAGCGGUUGGCCAUCGCCCAGAUGGCCCAAGCACUGCUGGGCUCGGAAGAGAGGAAAAUGGAGAUCAACCUGUACAGGAAGGACGGUAGGACCAUACGCAGUGUGUGUGUGUGUGUGUGUGUGUGUGUGUGUGUGUGUGUGUGUGUGUGUGUGUGUGCGUGUGUGUGCGUGCGUGUGCGUGUGUGUGUUUUGCGGUGAGGUUGAAAACUUGUACAAGUUCAACCUGCUUAGUUACUAUGGUAUCCAAGACCCACUGUACCAUAUCUUCUAUACUUGGUUCAUAUUCAUGACUGUAUUUGCUAGUCUCUUGGUGUAUUCUCAAGUCCCCCCUCUGAUGCCUGAUCAUUGGUUGUGUCAGUCAUCCUGGUUUGUGAGGUCAUAUGAGGAAAACACUCAGGAGGAAUAUCCCGGGAACAUGCAGUGCUGCCUGGUCUAUCAGGCUCUGGGCUGGUGGCCAGUGACACACUACUCAAUCACCUCCAGGUAAUAGAGAUAGACACCCCCCACCGGGUGAGAUAUGUCAGACAGGUCCAACUGAGGAAAGCGCUACAGUAUGAUAGAGGAGUCAAAGAGAAAGCAAGACUGAUGAAGUGAGAUACUGAGAAAAGGUAUAGGUGAAAAAAAUAAAGGAAGAGAGAGGGCGGCUGCAGUUCUCAGUUCCUGGAGAGUCCCACUGGAAGGAGGUGAGAGAGAGGUGAGAGAGAGGUGAGAGAGAGGUGAGAGAGAGCUGAGAGAGAGGUGAGAGAGAGGUGAGAGAGAGG